rnacentral:rRNA from 1 species
ACUUUAUAUGUUAUUUAAAUUUAAUUAACUUUUAAAAAUUUAAUGUAGUAAAAUAUUUUAUUGGGGCGAUAAAAGUAUAAUUUUUAUUAACUGCUUUAAACAAAAACAAAUAAUAUUUGAAGUAAUAGUAGAUCCUUUAGUAAAGAAUAAAAGACCAAGUU